rnacentral:rRNA from 1 species
UAAUACGGAGGAUCCGAGCGUUAUCCGGAUUUAUUGGGUUUAAAGGGUGCGUAGGCGGGAGAUUAAGUCAGCGGUGAAAGUUUGCAGCUUAACUGUAAAAUUGCCGUUGAAACUGAUUUUCUUGAGUGUAAAUAAGGUAGGCGGAAUGUGUUGUGUAGCGGUGAAAUGCAUAGAUAUAACACAGAACCCCGAUUGCGAAGGCAGCUUACCGGGCUACAACUGACGCUGAGGCACGAAAGCGUGGGGAUCAAACAGG